rnacentral:rRNA from 1 species
UACGUAGGGUGCAAGCGUUAAUCGGAAUUACUGGGCGUAAAGCGUGCGCAGGCGGUGAUGUAAGACAGGUGUGAAAUCCCCGGGCUUAACCUGGGAACUGCAUUUGUGACUGCAUCGCUGGAGUGCGGCAGAGGGGGAUGGAAUUCCGCGUGUAGCAGUGAAAUGCGUAGAUAUGCGGAGGAACCCCGAUGGCGAAGGCAAUCCCCUGGGCCUGCACUGACGCUCAUGCACGAAAGCGUGGGGAGCAAACAGG